rnacentral:rRNA from 1 species
AUUGAACGCUGGCGGCAGGCCUAACACAUGCAAGUCGAGCGGUUGACGGGAGCUUGCUCCCUGAUUCAGCGGCGGACGGGUGAGUAAUGCCUAGGAAUCUGCCUAUUAGUGGGGGACAACGUUUCGAAAGGAACGCUAAUACCGCAUACGUCCUACGGGAGAAAGCAGGGGACCUUCGGGCCUUGCGCUAAUAGAUGAGCCUAGGUCGGAUUAGCUUGUUGGUGAGGUAAUGGCUCACCAAGGCGACGAUCCGUAACUGGUCUGAGAGGAUGAUCAGUCACACUGGAACUGAGACACGGUCCAGACUCAUACGGGAGGCAGCAGUGGGGAAUAUUGGACAAUGGGCGAAAGCCUUGUCCAGCCAUGCCGCGUGUGUGAAGAAGGUCUUCGGAUUAUAAAGCACUUUAAGUUGGGAGGAAGGGUUGUAGAUUAAUACUCUGCAAUUUUGACGUUACCGACAGAAUAAGCACCGGCUAACUCUGUGCCAGCAGCCGCCGUAA